AACGAACGCUGGCGGUAUGCCUAACACAUGCCAGUCGAACGAGACCUUCGGGUCUAGUGGCGCACGGGUGCGUAACGCGUGGGAACCUGCCCUUAGGUUCGGAAUAACUCCCCGAAAGGGGUGCUAAUACCGGAUAAUGUCUUCGGACCAAAGAUUUAUCGCCUUUGGAUGGGCCCGCGUUGGAUUAGCUAGUUGGUAGGGUAAAAGCCUACCAAGGCGACGAUCCAUAGCUGGUCUGAGAGGAUGAUCAGCCACACUGGGACUGAGACACGGCCCAGACUCCUACGGGAGGCAGCAGUGGGGAAUAUUGGACAAUGGGCGAAAGCCUGAUCCAGCAAUGCCGCGUGAGUGAUGAAGGCCUUAGGGUUGUAAAGCUCUUUUACCCGGGAUGAUAAUGACAGUACCGGGAGAAUAAGCUCCGGCUAACUCCGUG
rnacentral:rRNA from 1 species